UGGGGAAUUUUGGACAAUGGGCGAAAGCCUGAUCCAGCAAUGCCGCGUGUGUGAAGAAGGCCUUCGGGUUGUAAAGCACUUUUGUCCGGAAAGAAAUCCUUGGCUCUAAUACAGUCGGGGGAUGACGGUACCGGAAGAAUAAGCACCGGCUAACUACGUGCCAGCAGCCGCGGUAAUACGUAGGGUGCAAGCGUUAAUCGUAAUUACUGGGCGUAAAGCGUGCGCAGGCGGUUUGCUAAGACCGAUGUGAAAUCCCCGGGCUCAACCUGGGAACUGCAUUGGUGACUGGCAGGCUAGAGUAUGGCAGAGGGGGGUAGAAUUCCACGUGUAGCAGUGAAAUGCGUAGAGAUGUGGAGGAAUACCGAUGGCGAAGGCAGCCCCCUGGGCCAAUACUGACGCUCAUGCACGAAAGCGUGGGGAGCAAACAGGAUUAGAUACCCUGGUAGUCCACGCCCUAAAACGAUGUCAACUAGUUGUUGGGGAUUCAUUUCCUUAGUAACGUAGCUAACGCGUGAAGUUGACCGCCUGGGGAGUACGGUCGCAAGAUUAAAACUCAAAGGAAUUGACGGGGU
rnacentral:rRNA from 1 species